CAGCGCCGCGGUAAUACGAAGGGGGCUAGCGUUGCUCGGAAUCACUGGGCGUAAAGGGUGCGUAGGCGGGUCUUUAAGUCAGGGGUGAAAUCCUGGAGCUCAACUCCAGAACUGCCUUUGAUACUGAAGAUCUUGAGUUCGGGAGAGGUGAGUGGAACUGCGAGUGUAGAGGUGAAAUUCGUAGAUAUUCGCAAGAACACCAGUGGCGAAGGCGGCUCACUGGCCCGAUACUGACGCUGAGGCACGAAAGCGUGGGGAGCAAACAGGAUUAGAUACCCGAGUAGUCCCUGUCUCUUAUACA
rnacentral:rRNA from 1 species